GUUUUUUGUUUUUGUUUCAGCCGGUUUAUUUUCCACUUGCUAUGGAAUUCUACGUGCUAUGAAUCCAAAAAUAGAAACUGAGGAAUUAGGCCAUGAUAUCAAGUCUAUCUGUCCAGUUUCCAUGGCUGCAUCACUUGAAUGACUGCAUAGACACAAAUUACUUGUUGGUCAUAAAGCAUCGUUGAUAAAUCUUCAGGUUUUUUUUUGCAUGAAUAUUAAUUUCGAUUAAUUUGUCAUUUCUUUGGUUUUCCUUAUAGAAUGACCACAUUGAAUCCGACCGAUGACAAUGCAUAGACAUGUGCAUAAGUGUUAAAAUAUGAUUUUAGUUCAAGAUUGAAGAAAAAACUCAAUGAAAACA